AGCGAACGCUGGCGGCAGGCCUAACACAUGCAAGUCGAACGAACUCUUCGGAGUUAGUGGCGGACGGGUGAGUAACACGUGGGAACUUGCCCUUAGGUUCGGAAUAACUCAGGGAAACUUGUGCUAAUACCGAAUGUGCCCUUCGGGGGAAAGAUUUAUCGCCUUUAGAUGGGCCCGCGUCUGAUUAGCUAGUUGGUGAGGUAAAGGCGCACCAAGGCGACGAUCAGUAGCUGGUCUGAGAGGAUGAUCAGCCACAUUGGGACUGAGACACGGCCCAAACUCCUACGGGAGGCAGCAGUGGGGAAUAUUGCGCAAUGGGCGAAAGCCUGACGCAGCCAUGCCGCGUGAAUGAUGAAGGUCUUAGGAUUGUAAAAUUCUUUCACCGGGGACGAUAAUGACGGUACCCGGAGAAGAAGCCCCGGCUAACUUCGUG
rnacentral:rRNA from 1 species